rnacentral:rRNA from 1 species
UACGUAGGAGGCGAGCGUUGUCCGGAAUUACUGGGCGUAAAGAGCGCGUAGGCGGCAUGGUACGACCGGUGUGAAAGCCCCCGGCUCAACUGGGGAGGGUCACGGGUAACGGCUAUGCUCUGAGUGCAGGAGAGGGAAGUGGAACUCCGGGAGUAGCGGUGAAAUGCGUAGAUACCCGGAGGAACACCAGUGGCGAAGGCGGCUUCCUGGCCUGUGACUGACGCUGAGGCGCGAAAGCUAGGGGAGCGAACGGG